rnacentral:rRNA from 1 species
CAGUAGCCGCGGGAACACGGAGGGGGCUAGCGUUGUUCGGAAUUACUGGGCGUAAAGCGCACGUAGGCGGCUUUUUAAGUCGGAUGUGAAAUCCCUGAGCUUAACUUAGGAAUUGCAUUCGAUACUGGGAAGCUAGAGUAUGGGAGAGGAUGGUAGAAUUCCAGGUGUAGCGGCGAAAUGCGUAGAGAUCUGGAGGAAUACCGAUGGCGAAGGCAGCCAUCUGGCCUAAUACUGACGCUGAGGUACGAAAGCAUGGGGAGCAAACAGGAUUAGAUACCCCUGUAGUCCCUGUCUCUUAUAC